UCCUCAGUUCGGACUGGGGUCUGCAACCGACCCCACGAAGCUGGAUUCGCUAGUAAUCGCGCAUCAGCCAUGGCGCGGUGAAUACGUUCCCGGGCCUUGUACACACCGCCCGUCAAGCCAUGGGAGCCGGGGGCGCCUGAAGUCCGGGACCGCGAGGACCGGCCUAGGGCGAAACUGGUAACUGGGGCUAAGUCGUAACAAGGUAAC
rnacentral:rRNA from 1 species